rnacentral:rRNA from 1 species
GACGAACGCUGGCGGCGUGCUUAACACAUGCAAGUCGAGCGGAGCGGCGAACGGGUGAGUAACACGUGGGUGAUAUGCCUUGCACUUCGGGAUAAGCUUGGGAAAGUGGGCCAAAUACCGAAUAGUGCAAGAUGAGCUCGUGGGGUAUCAGCUUGUAGGUGGGGUAAUGGCCUACCAAGGCGACGACGGGUAGCCGGCCUGAGAGGGUGUACGGCCACAUUGGGGCUGAGCUACGUCCCAGUCUCCUACGGGAGGCAGCAGUGGGGAAUAUUGCACACUCGGCGGAAGCAUGAUGCAGCGACGCCGGGUGGGGGAUGAAGGCCUACUGGUUGUAAACGCCUUUCGACAGGGACGCGGUACCUAUAUAAGAAGCACCGGCUAACUACGUGCCAGCAGCCGCGGUAAUAC